GCGACACACAUCGUGAGCAUAAUGUAAAUACUCUAUACUGAACAAGUAGUUUUCUUGACAAACUUGUUGUUUUGAAAAAAAGGUGAAAUCAGAUAUGGCAUCUUCUGAAGAAAGUAAAGUUGACUUGGUGGAGACUAACACACAGCCACUGGGAAUGCAGCUUAUAAACUCCUACCGAACCAAUAGACAAGCCGAUGUCAUGGACCUAGUCACGUUGGCACAAGACAUACAGAA